rnacentral:rRNA from 1 species
GCAGCCGCGGUAAUACGUAGGGUGCGAGCGUUGUCCGGAAUUAUUGGGCGUAAAGGGCUCGUAGGCGGUCUGUCGCGUCUGCUGUGAAAACCCGAGGCUCAACCUCGGGCCUGCAGUGGGUACGGGCAGACUAGAGUGCGGUAGGGGAGAAUGGAAUUCCUGGUGUAGCGGUGGAAUGCGCAGAUAUCAGGAGGAACACCGAUGGCGAAGGCAGUUCUCUGGGCCGUAACUGACGCUGAGGAGCGAAAGCGUGGGGAGCGAACAGGAUUAGAUACCCUGGUAGUCCACGCCGUAAACGUUGGGCGCUAGAUGUGGGGAUCAUUCCACGGUUUCCGUGUCGCAGCUAACGCAUUAAGCGCCCCGCCUGGGGAGUACGGCCGCAAGGCUAAAACUCAAAGGAAUUGACGGGGGCCCGCACAAGCGGCGGAGCAUGCGGAUUAAUUCGAUGCAACGCGAAGAACCUUACCAAGGCUUGACAUACACGAGAACGCCCUAGAAAUAGGGAACUCUUUGGACACUCGUGAACAGGUGGUGCAUGGUUGUCGUCAGCUCGUGUCGUGAGAUGUUGGGUUAAGUCCCGCAACGAGCGCAACCCUCGUUCUAUGUUGCCAGCGCGUAAUGGCGGGAACUCAUGGGAGACUGCCGGGGUCAACUCGGAGGAAGGUGGGGAUGACGUCAAAUCAUCAUGCCCCUUAUGUCUUGGGCUUCACGCAUGCUACAAUGGCCGGUACAAAGGGCUGCAAUACCGUAAGGUGGAGCGAAUCCCAAAAAGCCGGUCUCAGUUCGGAUUGAGGUCUGCAACUCGACCUCAUGAAGUCGGAGUCGCUAGUAAUCGCAGAUCAGCAACGCUGCGGUGAAUACGUUCCCGGGCCUUGUACACACCGCCCGU